UCAGAGGAGACAGCUAGUCACACCUGCUGUUAAUCAGUCUCUCCUCCAGCUCCUGAGUCACUUUCUGGAGAUCCUUUGUUUGGCACACAUGUGCUGUGACUGGUGACUCUGUUCUGUGUGGUAAGGUGGACUUUUGGGGUUUUUAACAUUGUUUUAGAAUUAGGAUAGCAUUUUAAUUGUUAGGGUAAUGUAGGGGUGCAUGCACCCUGAGGUAUUUGUAUUUUAAUGAUUUUAAUUGUGGGUCUGUCAUUUGUUUUUAGGACUGAAACACUAACAGUGCUUUGUUUGUUUUUAGGCAUAGCACUGACUGCCGUUUAUUUUAGUUUAGUAUUUUAUAUUUUAGUCAUAUUGAUUUUAUUGUUUUUAUUAUUUUAGAUUUGAGUUGUGUAGUUUUAGGAUUUUAACAUUCUGUCUUCUUCUGUUCCUAGUAUUGUGGCUGGUGGGAACCCCCAUUCAACGGUGUGGCUGAAAUGCUGGGAGUUCACUUUAGAUGGUGAUAUGGUUUGUGGUUGCACAUUGAAUUAGUGUGGUGUGUUUAUUUGAAGUGUUGGGUUUAUAUUUAUUUUGAAUAUCUAGUAUACUCCCAGUGUCCUAGGCAGUGGAUGGUUGGUUUCCCAGUCGUGAUAUGACUGUCUGUCCUCUUGUCUUUUCUUGACUGUGUUUUAUAGAGUUUUAAAUAUUGUAAAAUAAAUGGCAUGUGUUUGACCCACACUGACUGUUGUGGCCUCCUUAAUUGAAGCCCCUGUGCAUGUCUAAUCAAUCCAUAAGGUUACAUUUGGCGUUGUCGGCAGGAUUGAGAAACAGUCAGUGUGUGGUACAUGUCAUAGUUUAGUUUUUUUUGGUUUGAUAAAAUAUUAAACGGCAGUCGGUGCAGAAGACUGAAGGGGUCAUCAAGGCUGGUUCAUCACCCCAAGGCGCAGAAGAUGCUGUAAUCCCACUUCUUCCUUGGGUUGUAAAGAGUGGUUAAAAUGAGUGAAACUGAGGAACAAUUAGCAGCCCUGCGUGAGCAGCUCAGAGCCCUUCAAGUUGAAAAUGGACUUUUAAAAGAAGUUGCCAGUAACUCAUACGCCUCUAGUGCCCCUGCUUCUGCCCCCAGAAUUGACAGAACUGUUUAUGUCCCACGUGAAAGGAGGUGCCCAAAGUUUUAUGGUGAUCAAGACCAACCUGAUAGCAUUGGCUUGGAGGAUUGGGUGGAGGAAGUUGAAGCCUGUCUGGAAGGGCGCCAAUUCUCUAACAGAGAAAAAGCUAUUUUCCUCCUUGAUCAUCUGGGAGGUGAACCACGGAGUGAGAUCAAGCACAGACCACGUAGAGAAAGAGAGGAUCCUCAAAAGAUCAUUGACAUUUUACAAUUACUGUAUGGUGGUAAAAAGCCCUUGGUUGUACUGCAGCAAAGGUUCUAUGAACGUAGACAGCAGGAGGGGGAGUCACUGAGACAGUUUUCUCAUGCAUUAAUGUCAUUAAUGAAUGCUGUUCUUGAUAACGAUCCAGAUGCAGUUCCGAACUCAGAGGUGGCCCUGAGAGACCAGUUUGUGGAACGCGUCCGGGAUGCAACGUUACGGCACCACCUGCGGGAAGUGGUGAGAGGUAAACCCGGAAUGUCACUGAUCGAAAUCCGAGAAGAAGCUAUCAGAUGGGGUGAGGAUUUUGAUAAAGGGAGCAAUUUCCAUUCCUCCCAGUGCAAUGUUACACGAGCUGACAUAACUGCCACAUCAGUGCAAGAGCCAAAACAGUCUCCAGAGGUUCUGGCCAUCGCAGAACUAAUAAAGAAUCAACAGACUCAAAUUUCCUCUUUAACACAACAGUUUCAGUCCCUGCAGUCAAUGUUUGAGCAGACCACAGCCAAAUUCAGAAAGGAACAAAAGUGCCUACGUUGUAAUAAACCAGGUCACAUUGCUCGAUAUUGUCGCCAGCCCAUGCCCACGACUUUGAGAAUGAAUCCUAACCCGAGUGUCCAGACAGUGCAAGUGGAGCACCCAGUGACGGAGCCAACUUUUGUCUCUCACCAGGUAACAGAUUUAACUGAGCAUGACUCUAACCCAGUCUCUCCAGAACUCUUAAAACAGUUGGUGGGUCCAUGCACUGUAGUGCAGCUGACUAUGAAUGGGAUCAAUGUCCCUUCAUUACUGGACACUGGUUCAAAUGUUACCACACUGACAAAGAGUUUUUUCCUGUCACAGUUUCAUUCAGACCAGCCUAAAAUUAACACCUGCAAGUGGCUAAACCUCUCUGCUGCCAAUGGGUUUGCCAUCCCAUAUUUGGGGUAUGUAGAGGUGGACGUCACUGUCUUAGGUCAAGUGCUUCGUGAUUGUGGUGUUCUAAUUGUUGAAGACCCACCCAGUUUCACGUCAUUACAGAAACAGAAGGAAAAAGUGCCUGGGCUGUUGGGAAUGAACAUCAUAAGUCAACUGUAUACUGACCUUUAUGAGGAAUAUGGUUCGGCCAUGUUCUCUAUCCCUCAGGUUACACAGGCCGCACCUGGUUGGAGAGAAGCACUACAAAUGUGUCAUGUGAUGGAGACUGAGCAGAGUGAUGAAGGACUCGGUAAACUACGAGUGCAUGCUGAGAAUCCUGUCCAGAUCCCUGCAGGUACCACAGUGAUGAUUCCAGCCACAGGUCCAAAAGGUAAACAGUACAACUCACUCACACUCCUUUUGGAACCGGAUAACAGUGCAACCCACAUUUCUGCAGGCCUACUGGUGUCCACAGCUCUAGCCACAAUAAAAGAUGGACUGGCCUACGUUCCAGUUACGAACGUGAAUAGUGAAGUAGCCUACCUUCAGCCACGAACCCCAUUAGGUUUGCUGCAUUCAGUCCAUGUAGUGGAGGCUAAUAGUCCCACAAUUGUGUUUAAUGAGGAGACUGAUGCUCAAGGCAAAGUAACUGUAAUGUGCUCCCAAGCCUCUGUUAGCCCUUCUCAGGGUUUAGAUCUACAGUCAGUUGAUUUGUCUAAUUUGAGCCACCAGGAGCAACUGAAAGCAAAAGAUUUGCUUGGAAAGUACAGGGAUGUAUUUUCGACAGGGGAUAGUGACCUGGGCUGUACAACACUCAUUGAACAUAAUAUUCCACUCACAGAUGACAUUCCAACUAAACAACGUUACCGUCGUAUCCCUCCAUCUCAAUUUGAAAUAGUCAAAGCUCACAUUAAACAGCUACUACAGGCCCAAGUCAUAAGAGAGAGUUGCAGUCCCUAUGCUGCACCCUUGGUUUUAGUUCAGAAAAAGGACGGCUCCCUGAGGAUGUGUGUAGACUACAGGCAACUCAAUGCAAAGACGAGAAGGGAUGCCUAUCCAUUGCCUAGAAUCGAAGAAUCAUUAGACGCACUGACUGGUGCUAAAUGGUUCUCUACACUAGACCUGGCCAGUGGAUACAAUCAGGUCCCUGUAGCUGAAGCAGAUAAGCAUAAAACAGCUUUUUGUACACCAUUCGGCCUGUUUGAAUUCAAUCGAAUGGCUUUUGGGUUGUGUAAUGCACCCAGUACUUUCCAAAGAUUAAUGGAAAGGAUAUUUGGAGAUCAAAGUUUGCAGUCUCUGCUUCUGUAUUUGGAUGAUGUAGUAGUCUUUUCAACCUCUGUGGACCAACAUUUGCAGAGAUUGGAGCUGGUGUUACAUCGUCUGCGAAAAGAGAACUUAAAGGUCAAGUUGAGCAAGUGUUGCUUCUUCCAAAAACGAGUCAAGUACCUGGGCCAUGUGGUGUCUGAGGAUGGGGUGGCCACCGAUCCAGAUAAGGUCGCUGCAGUAGCCCAGUGGAAAUGCCCAGAGAAUGUCAAAGAGCUAAAAUCAUUCCUUGGCUUUGCCAGCUAUUAUCGGCGAUUUGUCCCUGGUUUUUCUCAAGUUGCCUCCCCAUUAAACUCUUUGGCUGCAAAACUGACUAGUAAAGAUAAGAGAGUCAAAAAUUCAAUCAAACCUCACUGGACCGAGACAUGUCACGCAGCCUUCCAGACACUCAAACAGAAACUCAUCACAGCCCCAGUGCUAGCUUAUGCAGAUUUUAAUAAACCAUUUAUCCUGGACGUAGAUGCUAGCCAUGAUGGGUUGGGGGCAGUCCUGUCGCAAGAGUGGGAGGGCAGAGUUCGACCCAUUGCUUUCGCCAGCCGCAGUCUGAGAAGAACUGAAAGAAAUAUGCAAAAUUAUAGUUCCAUGAAAUUGGAAUUUUUAGCCCUGAAAUGGGCUGUUGCAGAAAAAUUCAGAGAAUACUUGGUGGGCCAAAAAUGUACAGUUUACACUGACAACAAUCCUCUAAGCCAUCUCCAGACAGCCAAAUUGGGAGCAGUUGAACAAAGGUGGGCCUCAGAAUUGGCAAGCUUCGACUUAGACAUCAAAUACAAACCAGGAAGAACGAACACAAAUGCAGAUGCUUUGUCCAGGCAAAAUGCAAAUCUGGAGCAUAUACUAACCCUUGCUCCCACAUCUGCCCUUUCAGAGGAACUGAGGCGUGCAGCACAAAAGCAGCAUGGUGUACUGACUUCUCCAAAUUGUGUAUCACAGGCUGUAAUGGCGUCUUCUGGGGAGAAUGCAGCUAACCUGGCGGUGUUGCAGGCAGAAGACCCACUGAUCCGGGACUUUCGCUUCUUCUGGGACAGACGGCAACAACCAAAUAAGGAUGAGAGGAAGAAGGCGUCACCCAUGCUCCUGAAGCUCUUGAAGCAAUGGGGUCGGGUAAUUGAAAAAGAUGGUAUUCUUUUUCGACAGGUGGAGUCACCAGAAGGGGGACCAGCAUGGAAUCAGUUACUAUUGCCACAAAAACUGCAGGGGGAUGUCCUCCUUAGCCUCCAUGACAACCAUGGACACCAAGGUGUGGAACGGACAACAGAUCUCAUUAGGAGGAGAUGCUACUGGCCAGGUAUGAAUAAAACAAUAGAGGAGUACUGCAGAGCUUGUGAACGCUGUACAUUGGCCAAAGAUGUUCAUACUCCACCACGGAGCUUCAUGGGCCACCUGACAGCCUCUAAGCCUAAUGACAUUCUGGCUAUAGAUUUUACUGUUCUAGAGCCUGCAUCUGAUGGGCGAGAAAACAUCUUAAUCAUGACAGACGUGUUUUCAAAAUAUGUACAGGCCAUUCCAACUAGAAACCAAACAGCGGUAGCAGUAGCUGAGGCUUUGGUUAAACACUGGUUCUAUGUUUUUGGAGUCCCUCGCCAAAUACACUCUGACCAAGGACGAUGUUUUGAGGGUAAAGUAGUACAAGAGUUGUGUCGUAUUUACAAUAUCACAAAAACUAGGACGACACCAUACAGACCUCAAGGUAAUUGCCAAUGUGAACGGUUUAACAGAACCCUCCAUGACCUGCUCCGGACACUGCCACAGGAAAAGAAAAGGCAGUGGACUGUGCAUCUGCCUCAAGUAAUAUUUGCUUAUAAUACCACAAAACAUCAAUCCACAGGAUAUUCACCACAUAUGUUAAUGUUUGGACAGGAACCACGGCUGCCUAUUGAUUGUGUGUUAAGUGUUACAGGACAGCCGGAGUCACUGACAGCAGAUGAGUGGACCACCGACCAUCACAACAACUUGGCCUGCAUUUACCUGGGAGCGAGGCAGCGGCUCCAAGCAGCCGCUGACCGACGAGCCAAACAACACAACAACAAGGUCAAAGCAGAUACUUUGCAGCCUGGACAGCUAGUCUACUGCCGGGACCACAGCCACAGAGGACGGCACAAGAUACAGGACCACUGGAGCUCUGUGCCGUACAAGAUUGUGCGGUGUCCACAAAAUGGAGGGCCAGUGUACACAAUCAGCCCAGCGGAGGCAGAGGGACCCCUGAAACAAAUACAUCGGUCGGAGCUACGUCCAGCUGCAGGUAAACUGUUUGAUUUAUCAAUAAAUGACCCAGGUCUCCCUGAAGAUCUACUCAUGGGUAAUGAUUAUGAUGACACCUCUCAACCACCAUUUGUGGUUGAGUGUUCCUGGAGAUCUGUAACUGAUGUGGGAGAGCAGGAUGACACACCCCCACCACAGCCAGAUGUUGUGGAGAGGCCCGGUGCAGAACAAGAGGGAUCACGGCGUCCUCGUAGGACCACAGCCGGACAGCACCGAAACCCCCAUCAUCUCCCAAGAUCAACCACCACCCAAGUGAAUCAAGUUAUUGCCCCUUGGCAAGGAUUUCACAGGCCUUGGCUUUGAUGCCCAUCGACGGGACGUCGAUUCAGUUCAUGGGGGCAGAUUGUAGCAGUAGGUCACCAGGAAGCAGAAGCACAGACCAAUCAGAGGAGACAGCUAGUCACACCUGCUGUUAAUCAGUCUCUCCUCCAGCUCCUGAGUCACUUUCUGGAGAUCCUUUGUUUGGCACACAUGUGCUGUGACUGGUGACUCUGUUCUGUGUGUAUUGUGGCUGGUGGGAACCCCCAUUCAACGGUGUGGCUGAAAUGCUGGGAGUUCACUUUAGAUGGUGAUAUGGUUUGUGGUUGCACAUUGAAUUAGUGUGGUGUGUUUAUUUGAAGUGUUGGGUUUAUAUUUAUUUUGAA